UGGCUCAGUUGGUAGAGCAUGGUGUUUGCAACGCCAGGGUUGUGGGUUCAUUUCCCAU
rfam:Salmo salar isolate Sally breed double haploid chromosome ssa12, whole genome shotgun sequence.